rnacentral:misc_RNA from 1 species
AAGUCGUAACAAGGUUUCCGUAGGUGAACCUGCGGAAGGAUCAUUAAAAGAAAUGCGGCUCGCCGGGGGCCCCAAAAGCCCCCUCCGUGCCAACACGUUCUACCCUGUCUUUUUCGAUACCGUUACCUCCUCCCCGGCGCCCGCGCCGGGCUGGCUACACAACGAACCUUGCAGUUUACAGUCAAUUCAGUUUUUCAAAAAGAAAAUCAAAACUUUCAACAAUGGAUCUCUUGGCUCUG